rnacentral:lncRNA from 1 species
UAAACUUGAAAACAUAGAUAAGUGUAGUCAGAUCUUGAGAAGUGAGAGUCUUAACAAAAAAUUGUGUGAAAACUAUUUGUGAAUACUUAUUACAUUAAGAAAGGUAUGUGUUUAUUUAUUCAUGUUUUUUAUAAUUUUUUAGUCCUUACUCUUGAACAAUCUAAGAUUAGGAUCUUGUUCUCUUUAUACUUUUUGGUUUUUAUCUUUUGCUUAAAUUUCUUUUGUUCACUAGUUAGAUAUAUGUGUUUCCUCAAUUUUCUAUUAAGCUUGUUUUGAGUAAUAGUUUCUCUAUUAUUUUUUUUUUAAUAAUUAUUUAUGAUACUAGGUUUUUUCCGAUUUAACAUAAUUUUGAUUUGAGUUCAAUUUUUAAAUAUUUUUCAUUGAAAAAACUCACUUUUAUACUCUAUUUGCUUACAUUUAAUUCUCUUGUUCACUUAUAUUAUUAUAAUUUUAAGUUAUAAUAAUCUUUUUUUUUACCAUCUUAUUCAAAUUAGGUUAAUUAUUUUAAAAGAAAGAUAAUUAUAAGGAUAUUUAUAAAAUCAUAUCAACCCUAAAAAUUCUUUAAAAGUUCAAAAUUGAAUUUUAAUAAUAAUUUUGUUUAACCAGGUACUAGGUGUUUGAAGACAGAUUGAGAAGCUUUAUAUGCAAGAUGCAUGAUGUGAGGUCAAAAGUGAAAAUGAAGCCAAUUUUCAACCAUCAAGGAUCAAGAGUAUGAGAGAUGCAACAACAAAACUCAAUAGUCCACAAAAGAUGCAACAAUAAAACUCACAUGCCUUAGUUAAGGUGGUGUGAGUAAUAUAAAAAGGUUAUAUAAUAUACCUCAAAGUACAGUAGUGUUAAACAUGAAAUAGAAAAUAAUUAUGUAAUUAUUUUCUAUAUAAUUGUUUAACCUUAUUUUUACUUUAAGGUUUUUUUAUAAAAUAUAUUAUAUAAAAAUAUAAAUUUAUAUAUUUAAAAAGAAAUUAUAUAUAGUUAAUUUUAAAAUAAAAUAUUUUUUAUAUUUAUAAAAGUUAUCAUAUUAUUAUAGUUAGUAACAAGGUUGACAAAUUACGGGAGACGAAAAACAUAUUCAUUUGAAUAACCAACAUUUGGUUAGAAAAUGGAUUUGUUUUGAAUUGAACAACCUUAAAGUGCUACAUAUAUCUGACAAGUUUAUUUUUUGUUGUAGCAACUAUUUAUGGUUGUUUGUCUUCAAAGCUUUGUCUCGAAUCACUUUAAUUUUUUUUUUCAACCCUUAUAGAAAAGAUAAAAUUCUUGCAAAAAAGUAUAUCAUGCCUCCAAAUGAUAAGGCCCAAAAUAUAUAUCUUAAUUUAUAGUUCUGAGAAUGAGAUUCAAAUUGUAAUAUGUGGUGGAUAUAUAUUAUCCUAAAGGUGAAAAGUGAAUGGUUGAAUAUGUUUAUUUUCAAUUAUUUAUUUACUUGGAUAUAGAAAGCCUUAGAUGGGUUUUUGUCUAUAUCUUUUGCCAUGACAACAAAUUUAUUGAGAGAUUGUAUGUUGUUAUAUGGUAUAUUAUUUUUUUGUAUCAACCUUUUCCAUAUAUAAAAGGAAAAAGGAAAAUGAAUGUAAAAUAUAUUACUUUUGUAUAAUGUGUUUGAAUUUUUUUUGAAUAAUGUGAAUAUUAAUGUCAAUGUUAUUUUUUUAGGUGAAAUUUUAUUACUAGGUAUGUAAUGAGAGUACUCUUGAACGUAAAAUAUGAAAGAAAAAUAUAGUUUACUAAGAAAAACACCCUUAAGUUAAACAACAAGUGAAAAUUAAAAAAGGACAAUGUAGAAAAAUAAUAAAAAAACAAUAAAAAUAAAUAAAUUAUUCUUAAUUAGAUAUAUAGUAAGCUACACAUUUAAAUUACCCUUAAUUUAAUAUCUUAAGUAAAUUUUUCAUUCCUAAAAAAUAUCAUCUUUUAUUGAAACAUUAUUAAGUCAUUUAUAAUUAUAUGACAUUUUGUAGUAGAACUUCUUUACACGUGAUAAAAAAAACUAAAACUAAUUUUUUUGAUGAAUGGAUAUACAUUUAAAAAACAUCUAAGUUAGACUAAGGUUCUUUUAUAAUUUAAAGAUAUUUAGCAUAUGCUUGUAUGAUAGUGUUAAAAAUGUUUUCUUUUGUAAUAUUACUUGACUUUGGAUAAGGCUUUUUGAUAUCUUAGUAUUUUGUUUAAUUUGUCACUUUUAUGUUUAUGAUUUAAUUAUUCAUAUUUUUUAAACUUUUCACUUUUAAGCAUACUAAGAUAUUUUGAAGUUUAUAUUAUACUUAAUUUAUAAUAUUACGUGAUUAUAUAACACUUAUUAUGUUAAAAUCUAUAUAUUUAUUCAAUUCAACAAUAAUAUAUUCAAUGGACAUAUUAAGUGCUCCAAAUAUACAUUACAUAUGUAUUUAAUGAUUUUUUCUAACUUCCACACUCAACUCAAUACAUAAACGAUUAUUCAACGCUUAAUGUAUAAAAAUGUGUUUAUACCAUUUUUUAAACCCUAUUCCAACUAAGCAUAUUUUGAUCUUUGAGACUUAUCUUAGGUAAUAUAUAAAUUUAUCCAAUUAAAUAAUUAUUUAACGCUCAAUAUAUUUAAAUAUAUAUAUAUAUAUAUAUAUUAAUUUCACUAUUAAAAUGUUAGGUUACUGUAUAAAUUUUCAAAAUGUACAUUAAAUAUUUAUUAAAUUUCUUGUGACUUAAAUAGACAGCUCAGUGUAUUUAUCUAAUAAACGUUUAGAACGUAUCCAUUAUCAGGAUAAUAGAAUAAUUUAUCUUUUUAAACACUUCAUAUUUAUUGAAUUCUUGUAAGAUGCACCAAAUAACUCAAUGAAUGUAUGACUACAAGGUGUCAUAGUGUAUAUGAACUCUCUCAUCAGUUUCUCAUCACCUGGUACAUAAGAUCAUUAGUGAAGCUGAGGAUAAAUUAAAACAUAAGCUCUUCAUACUUAAUAUACCAUCAAACACCUAGAUGUAUGACAUCAAUUUUCAUCAUUUACAUACAAUUCAUAUCAUUCAAUCACAUAACAUUUAAGAACCUUUCCAAUGUAAAAAAAAACACUUAACCAUUAAACUAUCAAAAUCUAAUAUUUUUACAUGUUGACACAACAUAUAAUCAAACAAUUUCAUCUAAUAACAUCUCUACAAGAGAAAUUGAAACUUGGAACCACAACCCCUCCAAAUUCAAAUCUUCUAGCCUAUAGGGUACUAUUGAAAGUUAAAGUUAACUUCUCUUAUAUAAAUUUCCUUAUUCCAAUGGAAACUACAACUUAGGGAAAUCACUCCAAAAUUUGGAGAUCUAAAAUAAGUUAUCCAAAUGUCACCAAAUUUCAAUAUAUGAUAAAAUAAACUAAGACUAGCACCCAACUAGUCCCAUUAAGAUUGACUACCAAGAUAUAUUAUUAUAAUUCUAAGAUAUAAUAAUCUUAUUUUUACCUUCUUAUUUAAAUUAAGUUAAUUAUUUUAAAAGAAAGAUAAUUAUAAGGAUAUUUAUAAAAUCAUAUCAACCCUAACAAUUUUUUAAAAGUUCAAAAUUGAAUUUUAAUAAUAAUUUUGUUUAACCAGGUACUAGAUGUUUGAAGACAAAUUGAGAAGUUUUAUAUGCAAGAUGCAUGAUUUGAGGCCAAAAGUGAAAAUGAAGCCAAUUUUCAACCAUGAAGUAUCAAGAGUAUGAGAGAUGCAACAACAAAACUCAAUAAUCCACAAAGAUGCAACAAUAAAACUCACAUGCCUUAGUUAAGGUGGUGUGAGUAAUAUAAAAA